UUCAGCCUUAGACCUGUUGCAGGUAGGAGCUGCAGCAUCAGAUGCUGCCAGGCUGUAUUCUGGCUUAAAAUCCAUAGCUGGAUCACAGGCAGUUUGCCUUUUGUGGCCAGUGUAGCUCCUGUUAGCAUCCUCCUCGGCUGCCAGCCAGGUGUCGCUGCUGGGUGCAUCGCUGCUGGGUGCACUGCUGUGUGUGUGCCGCAAGGUGAAGUGCUUUGUUGCUGUAUCGCUGCUGCACUAUUGUAGGGCCACUGUCCUAGGUGGUGCCUUUCAUGGUGGUGCUGCUGAUUCUUGGUGAGCCUCGCUGCAGAAUUUGAUCCUGCGUAGUUCCAUUGUCCGCUGUCUGCCAGCAAGAUUGGAACGACGGGAGCCGGUCAGUCUGCUUGGGUGUUCCACUCCACGCACCUUGCUGACUCCAGGAAUCCUGCACUCCACGUGGUAACUUGCUUCACGCCGGGACGGAGCAUCAGAGCUGGUCCACUGCGACAGAGACUCUCUUGCAGCUCACCCAGGGGAUUGAGUGUGACUCACCUGUACAGCGUUUGGAACCUUACUUUUGUAUUAUUAAUAAUAGCAUUUUAAAUACUGUCAAUGUAAUAAAGAUUUGUAUUUUUCAUAUUAUUUGUCUCAGUCUUCCUGGCUGGAGAGUCCUGCACUACUCUGGUUUUUAGUUUUCUGGUGGCUUGGGGAAAACCAUAAU